rnacentral:rRNA from 1 species
UCGAGAAUUUUUCACAAUGGGCGAAAGCCUGAUGGAGCGACGCCGCGUGGGGGAUGAAUGGCUUCGGCCCGUAAACCCCUGUCAUUCGCGAGCAAACGUUAUUAUUUAAAAGAUGAUAGCCUGAUAGUAGCGAAAGAGGAAGGGACGGCUAACUCUGUGCCAGCAGCCGCGGUAAUACAGAGGUCCCAAGCGUUGUUCGGAUUUACUGGGCGUAAAGGGUGCGUAGGUGGUGGGGUAAGUCGGAUGUAAAAUCUCCGAGCUCAACUCGGAAAGUGCAUUGGAAACUACCCUGCUCGAGGGUUGGAGGGGGGACUGGAACACUUGGUGUAGCAGUGAAAUGCGUAGAUAUCAAGUGGAACACCAGUGGCGAAGGCGAGUCCCUGGACAACUCCUGGCACUGAGGCACGAAAGCUAGGGGAGCAAACAG